GCGCUGACAAAAUCAGCAUGCUUGUUUCAGUGUGCUCAAACAAAUCAACAACUCAAUGUGAGUGAAACUUCACUCAUGAAAUAAAUGCUCUAAGCAGCAAUCACAAUUCUUUGUGAGCUGUCUAYGAGGAACCUUGUCUUAUUCGCACCUGAAAUCAAGUAAGAUGAC
rnacentral:misc_RNA from 1 species